rnacentral:RNase_P_RNA from 1 species
CGAGCCACCCGGGUGAUCGCGGCAGCCAUUGCUGUCGAGGAAAGUCCGGGCUCCAGAGGGCAUGGUGGUGGGUAACACCCACCCGGGGCGACCCGCGGGACAGUGCCACAGAGAACAGACCGCCGGUCCUCGGACCGGUAAGGGUGAAACGGCGGUGCAAGAGACCACCGCGUCAUCGGUGACGGUGACGGCAGGGCAAACCCCACCUGGAGCAAGGCCAAGAAGACCGAGAGGUCGCGGACGCGUUCGAGGGCUGCCCGCCCGAGCGUCCGGGUAGGCUGCGCAGCCAUUCGGCUGGAGGGUGUCGGCAACGGCACUCACAGAUGGAUGAUCACCGCUCCUUCGGGAGUACAGAACCCGGCUUACAGGGUGGCUCGUCCC